rnacentral:rRNA from 1 species
AGUGAACGCUGGCGGUAGGCCUAACACAUGCAAGUCGAACGGCAGCACAGUAAGAGCUUGCUCUUACGGGUGGCGAGUGGCGGACGGGUGAGGAAUACAUCGGAAUCUACUUUUUCGUGGGGGAUAACGUAGGGAAACUUACGCUAAUACCGCAUACGACCUACGGGUGAAAGCAGGGGAUCUUCGGACCUUGCGCGAUUGAAUGAGCCGAUGUCGGAUUAGCUAGUUGGCGGGGUAAAGGCCCACCAAGGCGACGAUCCGUAGCUAGUCUGAGAGGAUGAGCAGCCACAAGGGAACGGAGACACGCAUCAGACUUCUGCGAGAGGCCGGAGUGGUAAAGAUUGGAGAAGGGGCGAAUGUUGGACCAAGGCAGGCCGCGUGAGGGAAGAAGGCCGUGGGCGUGAAAAGCGCUUUUGUGGGGAAAGAAGAUUAGCAGGUUAAUACCGCGCUGUUCUGACGGUACGCAAAGAAUAAGCACCGGCUAAACUCG